GAUGAAGAACGCAGCGAAAUGCGAUAAGUAAUGCGAAUUGCAGAAUCCGUGAGUCAUCGAAUCUUUGAACGCACAUUGCGCCCCUUGGUAUUCCGAAGGGCAUGCCUGUUCGAGCGUCAUUAUCACCCCUCAAGCCCCGGCUUGGUGUUGGGCUCUCGGUGGUCGUCUCCGACCACCCGUCUCAAAGAUAGUGACGGCGUCCCAGAGGGAACCGGUACGAGGAGCUUUCACGAGCAUGUACGCGGGACGACUCUGCGGGCGACGGUCUUAUUUACUUUAUAUACAAGUGUUGACCUCGGAUCAGGUAGGAAUACCCGCUGAACUUAAGCAUAUCAAUAAGCGGAGGA
rnacentral:misc_RNA from 1 species